UGUCAAAUGAGCGCAGUACCUCUCAUAGAGAAAAACGGCUCUUCCAAGCUAGUUAGGGUUUCUUCUGUUUGGCUUUCUUCUUGAGAAAAAAAAAAAUGGAGGAAAAUCAAAGCAUCCUUCUCUUCUUAAAUCAGAAGAGAGUCAAAUACAAAGACUACUUUUCCGUGGAGAUCAUGGAUCAGGUCAAUUUACAUCGAAUCAAUGAUUUA
rnacentral:lncRNA from 1 species